GCAUAGGUAUAUGCGGGCAGCUGCACUAAUAGAAAAGGGACACUUGGAAGUGAGGUAUGUUCAAUAGGGAGAAUCCAUUUUCCCUUUUCUUUGUUGCCACGUGUGCAAUAAAGAAGCAUGCAACAUGGUGCUAGCCAGGUAGAGAAGCCAUCUACAUAAUAAAAGAGUAGGGUGGGGCAGCCAGAUUCUUCGCACGCUGUGCAAACAGCACACCUGAUCCAAACUAUCUCUCUAUGUAAAUAUGCCCUAUGUAAAUCAGAUACCUUCUCCUCAAGCUCAUCUAUAAAAACUCCUGCACUUCGCCAUGGACCGGAAGCCCCUCUCUCUCUACAGGAGAAUUUCUCUCUUUCUUUUGCCUCUUAAACCUCCAAGCUUAACCUCACAUUUUGUGUGUCUGCGUCCUUGAUUUCCUUGGUGUGAGGCAAUGAACCUCAGGUAUUACCCCAGACAAGCGAAGCUGCUUCACUUUCAUUGACGGAUGCAGGUCAAGAAAAUUACAUCCCUCCCAGAAUGCGAAGAUAUAAACAUGCUCUAAGGAGGUAUGACAGCUAUGCUCAAGAUUCAGGUGCUCAGAUAAUUAGACGAGUCCCAGUUGACCCACUUGUGGUAUACAAAAGAGAAAUACAUUAUUG
rnacentral:lncRNA from 1 species